AACGAACGCUGGCGGCAUGCCUAACACAUGCAAGUCGAACGAGACCUUCGGGUCUAGUGGCGCACGGGUGCGUAACGCGUGGGAACCUGCCCUUAGGUUCGGAAUAAUUCCCCGAAAGGGGUGCUAAUACCGGAUAAUGUCUUCGGACCAAAGAUUUAUCGCCUUUGGAUGGGCCCGCGUUGGAUUAGCUAGUUGGUAGGGUAAAAGCCUACCAAGGCGACGAUCCAUAGCUGGUCUGAGAGGAGGAUCAGCCACACUGGGACUGAGACACGGCCCAGACUCCUACGGGAGGCAGCAGUGGGGAAUAUUGGACAAUGGGCGAAAGCCUGAUCCAGCAAUGCCGCGUGAGUGAUGAAGGCCUUAGGGUUGUAAAGCUCUUUUACCCGGGAUGAUAAUGACAGUACCGGGAGAAUAAGCUCCGGCUAACUCCGUG
rnacentral:rRNA from 1 species